rnacentral:rRNA from 1 species
UCGAGCCACGAAGGGCGCAUGGUGAAUGACUUGGCGUCAAGAGGCGAUGAAGGACGUUGGAACCUGCGAAAAGCCACAGGGAGCCGGUAACCAGGCUGUGAUCUGUGGGUGUCCGAAUGGGGAAACCCGGCCCGUUAGGGUCAUCACGUACUGAAUGCAUAGGUGCGUGAAGCGAACCCAGGGAACUGAAACAUCUCAGUACCUGGAGGAAAGGAAAGCAACAGCGACUCCGUCAGUAGCGGCGAGCGAAAUCGGAUAGAUGUGAACCCGUUGAGCAGGCUGGAAUGCCUGGCCACAGAAGGUGAAAGCCCUGUAAGCGGAUGUAGCAUCACAGCCCUCGAGUAGGCUCGGGCUCGUGGAACCCGGGUUGAACAUGGGAGGUCCACCUUCCAAGGCUAAGUACUCCUUGACGACCGAUAGCGAAUCAGUAAGGCGACUGAACGUUGAAAAGUUCCCCGAUGAGGGGAUUGAAAGAGACCUGAAACCAUGCGCCUACAAGCGGUCGGAGCCCUUCGGGGUGACGGCGUGCUUUUUGCAUAAUGAGCCUGCGAGUUAGCCUCAGCGGCGAGCCUAAGGACUACCAGUCCGGAGGCGUAGGGAAACCGAGUCUGAACAGGGCGUUCAGUCGGUGGGGCUAGACACGAAACCCGUGUGAUCUACCCAUGGCCAGGGUGAAGGAGGGGUAAGACCUUCUGGAGGCCCGAACCCGUUAUCGUUGAAAAGAUAUGGGAUGAGCUGUGGGGAGGAGUUAAAGUCUUAUCAAACCGGGAGAUAGCUUGUUCUCGCCGAAAUAACUUUAGGGUUAGCGUCAGGUUGCAACCAGCGGGGGUAGAGCGACUGGAUCGGUGGUGGGCCCUACCCGGGUACCCCAUCGAACCAAACUCCGAAUACCGUUGGCCAAGUCCUGGCAGAUAGACCGCGAGUGAUAAUAUCCGUGGUCAAGAGGAGAAGAAUCCAGACCGCCGGCUAAGGUCCCAGAGCCUUGCUUAGUUCUUAAGGAAGUCGGAUUGCUAUGACAACCAGCAUGUUGGCUUAGAAGCAGCCAUCAUUUAAAGAGUGCGUAAUAGCUCACUGGUCGAGGAAUCCGGCGCCGAUAAUGAUCGGGAAUAAGCAGGGCGCCGAAGCCGCGGACUCCGCAAGGAGUGGUAGGCGAGCGUUCCACGUGCAGCGAAGCCGAGAUGGAAAUCGAGGUGGAGCGCGUGGAAGUGCAUAUGCAGGCUUGAGUAACGAUAAACAAGGUGAGAAUCCUUGUCGCCGAAAGCCCAAGGUUUCCUGGGGAAGGUACAUCCGCCCAGGGUAAGUCGGGACCUAAGGCGAGGCCGAAAGGCGUAGUCGAUGGACAGCAGGUUAAUAUUCCUGCACCUCCGUGGCGAUCAAAGCACAGUGCGUAUUCCCAAGCUCUUCAGGACUGUUAGACGUCCAGGCCCUCGGGCCGUUGAAGGGGGAGGGGGUUCCCAGAAAAGCUGUGUGGGCAAUACGGAGCUCGUACCAAAACUGACACAGGUGGGCGAGGCGAAUAGCCUCAGGCGCUCGAGAGAACGGUUGUGAAGGAACUAGGCAAAAUCGCCCCGUACGUUCGCAAGAAGGGGGCCCUUCGGGGCGCAGAGAAGAGGCUCUGGGAACUGUUUAUCAAAAACACAGCACUGUGCCAACUCGCAAGAGGAUGUAUACAGUGUGACGCCUGCCCAAUGCCGGAAUGUCACGGAACCGGGUUAGCUUCGGCGAAGCUCGGAACCCAAGCACCGGUCAAUGGCGGCCGUAACUAUGACGGUCCUAAGGUAGCGAAGUUCCUUGUCGGGUAAGUUCCGACGCGCAUGAAUGGCGUAAUCACCGGAGCACUGUCUCCACAACCGACUCGGUGAAAUAGUAGUGGCGGUGAAGAUGCCGCCUACCCGCAGCAAGACGGAAAGACCCCGUGGACCUUUACUGCAGGCUUCUAUUGGUCACGAGCAUAAGAUGCGUAGGAUAGGUGGGAGGCUUUGAAGCGAGCGUUUUGGCGUUUGUGGAGCCAUUGGUGAAAUACCACCCUUCUUGAGUUUGUGGCCUAACCCCGAUUCCCUUGAACCAGGGCGGGGGACAGUUGGUGCUGGGUAGUUUGACUGGGGCGGUCUCCUCCUAAAGAGUAACGGAGGAGCGCAAAGGUCGGCUCAGCGCGGAUGGAAACCGCGUUUUAGAAUGCAAGAGUAUAAGCCGGCUUUACUGCGAGACCGACGGGUCGAGCAGUCUCGAAAGAGGGCUCUAGUGAUCCUGCGCUUCCGUGUGGAAGGGGCGUAGCUCAUCGGAUAAAAGGUACCCCGGGGAUAACAGGCUUAUCGCACCCGAGCGUCCAUAGCGGCGGUGCGGUUUGGCACCUCGAUGUCGGCUCAUCACAUCCUGGGGCUGUAGGCGGUCCCAAGGGUUAGGCUGUUCGCCUAUUAAAGUGGUACGCGAGCUGGGUUCAGACCGGCGUGAGCCAGGUCGGUCCCUAUCUGUUGUGGGCGUUCCAAGCUUGAGAGGAGUCAACCCUAGUACGAGAGGAUUGGGUUGGACCAACCCCUGGUGAUCCUGUUGCAUCGCUAGAUGCACAGCAGGGUAGCUACGUUGGGCAGGGAUAACCGCUGAAAGCAUCUAAGCGGGAAGCCCCCCUCGAGAUGAGGCUUGGUGGCCUUGUGCGAGAGACCCCCGGAAGACCACCGGGUUGAUAGGCCGCAUGUGUAAGGGUUGAGAUGCCCUCAGCAAAGCGGUACUAACGGUCGAAGGUUCGAUCAC